rnacentral:rRNA from 1 species
GAUGAACGCUGGCGGCGUGCCUAAUACAUGCAAGUCGAGCGAACAGACGAGGAGCUUGCUCCUCUGACGUUAGCGGCGGACGGGUGAGUAACACGUGGAUAACCUACCUAUAAGACUGGGAUAACUUCGGGAAACCGGAGCUAAUACCGGAUAAUAUAUUGAACCGCAUGGUUCAAUAGUGAAAGACGGUUUUGCUGUCACUUAUAGAUGGAUCCGCGCCGCAUUAGCUAGUUGGUAAGGUAACGGCUUACCAAGGCAACGAUGCGUAGCCGACCUGAGAGGGUGAUCGGCCACACUGGAACUGAGACACGGUCCAGACUCCUACGGGAGGCAGCAGUAGGGAAUCUGCCGCAAUGGGCGAAAGCCUGACGGAGCAACGCCGCGUGAGUGAUGAAGGUCUUCGGAUCGUAAAACUCUGUUAUUAGGGAAGAACAAAUGUGUAAGUAACUAUGCACGUCUGGACGGUACCUAAGCAGAAAGCCACGGCUAACUACGU